GACGAACGCUGGCGGCGUGCUUAACACAUGCAAGUCGAACGGAAAGGCCCUGCUUUUGUGGGGUGCUCGAGUGGCGAACGGGUGAGUAACACGUGAGUAACCUGCCCUUGACUUUGGGAUAACUUCAGGAAACUGGGGCUAAUACCGGAUAGGAGCUCCUGCUGCAUGGUGGGGGUUGGAAAGUUUCGGCGGUUGGGGAUGGACUCGCGGCUUAUCAGCUUGUUGGUGGGGUAGUGGCUUACCAAGGCUUUGACGGGUAGCCGGCCUGAGAGGGUGACCGGACGCACGGGAAAUGAGACAAGGUCCAGAGGCCUACGGGAGGCAGCAGGGGGGAAGCUGCGGCAAUGGGCGAAAGCAUGACGGAGCGAGAACGAGUGGGUGAUGAAGGUCUUCGGAUCGUAAAGAGCUGGUAUUGGGAAAGAAAAGAAGUGUAGGAAAAUGACGACGUCUUGAAGGUACCUAAUCAGAAAGAAACGGCUAACUACGUG
rnacentral:rRNA from 1 species